rnacentral:ncRNA from 1 species
AAGAAAUCGUUGAUGAGGUUAAAGUAAAUAGAAACUUGUAUUUCCAGAGAAUCGGUCAUGGUGGAAGCCGAUAAUACAACUAUUUACGACAUCCCCUCGGAGAGGAUUACUAAAAGGGCAACCGAUUAGGUAAUCCCGGGCAUUGCAGUAGCCGUGCUCGUUAGCAGUGAAUAGAUGAUCUAUUCAAGAGGCAGCAAUUUGCUGCGAAUCAGGGUGGUACCAUGGAAAAGCUUUUUCAUCCCUAUG